UACGGAAGGCAGCAGUGGGGAAUAUUGCACAAUGGGCGAAAGCCUGAUGCAGCUAUGCCGCGUGUAUGAAGAAGGCCUUAGGGUUGUAAAGUACUUUCAUCGGGGAGGAAAAAACAAAACUAAUAAUUUUAUUUCUUGACGUUACCCGAAAAAGAAGCACCGGCUAACUCCGUGCCAGCAGCCGCGGUAAUACGGAGGGUGCUAGCGUUAAUCAGAAUUACUGGGCGUAAAGAGCACGUAGGUGGUUUUUUUAAGUCAGAUGUGAAAUCCCUGGGCUUAACCUGGAACUGCAUUUUGAAACUGAAAUACUAGAGUAUCGUAGAGGGAGGUAGAAUUCUAGGUGUAGCGGUGAAAUGCGUAGAUAUCUGGAGGAAUACCUGUGGCGAAAGCGGCUUCCUAAACGAAUACUGACACUGAGGUGCGAAAGCGUGGGGAGCAAACAGGGAUUAGAUACC
rnacentral:rRNA from 1 species